ensembl:lncRNA
GCUGCCUGUGCCCUCGCGCAAGUUCGCCGAGUUGAUAAAGUUAUUAAAACAUAAAACUCGCACUGGCUCCGGGAGGGAUAAAUAAAUAAAUAAAUGCAAUAAAACAGCCCGCGCACCCCGCGCCGUUGCCCCGGGCGGUGCAAAGGCAGGAGGGCGAGGGAGCUCGGAGAAGAGGAACGAGUCGGACAGGUGAAACUGGCAAAUACAGGCAGCUCUUGUGAUGACAAAGACUUCCCCAAGGCUUCUUCUCACCAGUUAAUGGAGACUCAGUGGAUGCAAAGCUUACAACUAUGAAAACAAUACCUGUCUGACCUGGUAAACAGAUCAAUAGAACUGUAGGGCCCCCACAAGAUAUAGCUGAUUCCCAACCCCCGAAUCUGUGAAGGUGACUUUAUUUGGAAGAGAGUCUUUGAAGAUAUAAAUGAGGACCUCAAGAUGAGAUGUUCCUGGAUUUAAGGUAGGCCCUAACCCCAAUGAUAGGUGUCCUUAUAAAAGGAGAGGAUACAUAGAAUAAAGAUGGCAAU